CACCACUAAGCCAGUGGUGAACUCCACAUACGCAUCCUUUGCGGAAGAUGCGGUUAACGGAGCGAAAGCGACGUUCAACCUCAGAAGAAGCAGAGGGGGCUUAGUGGUGGGGUGACUGCGUACCUUUUGUAUAAUGGGUCAGCGACUUAUAUUCUGUAGCAAGGUUAACCGCAUAGGGGAGCCGAAGGGAAACCGAGUCUUAACCGGGCGUUAAGUUGCAGGGUAUAGACCCGAAACCCGGUGAUCUAGCCAUGGGCAGGUUGAAGGUUGGGUAACACUAACUGGAGGACCGAACCGACUAAUGUUGAAAAAUUAGCGGAUGACCUGUGGCUGGGGGUGAAAGGCCAAUCAAACCGGGAGAUAGCUGGUUCUCCCCGAAAGCUAUUUAGGUAGCGCCUCGUGAACUCAUCUCCGGGGGUAGAGCACUGUUUCGGCUAGGGGGCCAUCCCGGCUUACCAACCCGAUGCAAACUGCGAAUACCGGAGAAUGUUAUCACGGGAGACACACGGCGGGUGCUAACGUCCGUCGUGAAGAGGGAAACAACCCAGACCGCCAGCUAAGGUCCCAAAGUCAUGGUUAAGUGGGAAACGAUGUGGGAAGGCCCAGACAGCCAGGAUGUUGGCUUAGAAGCAGCCAUCAUUUAAAGAAAGCGUAAUAGCUCACUGGUCGAGUCGGCCUGCGCGGAAGAUGUAACGGGGCUAAACCAUGCACCGAAGCUGCGGCAGCGACACUUUAGUGUUGUUGGGUAGGGGAGCGUUCUGUAAGCCGUUGAAGGUGUCCUGUGAGGGGUGCUGGAGGUAUCAGAAGUGCGAAUGCUGACAUAAGUAACGAUAAAGCGGGUGAAAAGCCCGCUCGCCGGAAGACCAAGGGUUCCUGUCCAACGUUAAUCGGGGCAGGGUGAGUCGACCCCUAAGGCGAGGCCGAAAGGCGUAGUCGAUGGGAAACGGGUUAAUAUUCCCGUACUUGGUGUUACUGCGAAGGGGGGACGGAGAAGGCUAUGUUGGCCGGGCGACGGUAGUCCCGGUUUAAGCGUGUAGGUGUGUGUUCCAGGUAAAUCCGGUUCACUUUAACACUGAGGCGUGAUGACGAGGCACCACGGUGCUGAAGCAACAAAUGCCCUGCUUCCAGGAAAAGCCUCUAAGCAUCAGGUAACAUCAAAUCGUACCCCAAACCGACACAGGUGGUCAGGUAGAGAAUACCAAGGCGCUUGAGAGAACUCGGGUGAAGGAACUAGGCAAAAUGGUGCCGUAACUUCGGGAGAAGGCACGCUGACACGUAGGUGAAGUGAUUUACUCA
rnacentral:rRNA from 1 species